CCUACGGGUGGCAGCAGUCGAGAAUCAUUCACAAUGGGGGAAACCCUGAUGGUGCGACGCCGCGUGGGGGAAUGAAGGUCUUCGGAUUGUAAACCCCUGUCAUGUGGGAGCAAAGUAAAAAGAUAGUACCACAAGAGGAAGAGACGGCUAACUCUGUGCCAGCAGCCGCGGUAAUACAGAGGUCUCAAGCGUUGUUCGGAAUCACUGGGCGUAAAGCGUGCGUAGGCUGUUGCGUCAGUCGUGUGGGAAAGGGGCGGGCUCAACCCGCGGACGGCAGAUGAUACUGCGGGACUAGAGUGAUGGAGAGGGAGGCGGAAUUCUUGGUGUAGCAGUGAAAUGCGUAGAUAUCGAGAAGAACACUCGUGGCGAAGGCGGGUUCCUGGACAUUAACUGACGCUGAGGCACGAAGGCCAGGGGAGCGAACGGGAUUAGAUACCCCAGUAGUC
rnacentral:rRNA from 1 species